GAAACGUUGAGACAGAGCGCUUGGCACAGAAGUAGCGGGGUCAGGGCGAAGUCCCAGGGCCUCAGGCAUGGCUCUCAGGAUCUCAGGCCCCAAAGGCGGUGUAUGGAUUGGGGAGGCCCAGCGCUGGGGAUUCCCCAUCUCCGCAGGGUUUCUCUUCUCCCUCUCCCAACCUGUGUCGGGUCCUUCUUCCUGGAUACUCACCAGGCUGCCCCAGUUCUCACUCCCAUUGAGUGUCGGGUUCCUAGAGAAGCCAAUCAAUGUAGCCGCGGUCCCGGUUCUAAAGUUCCCACGCACCCACCGGGACUCCGAUUCUCCCCAGUCGCCGAGGAUGGUGUCAUGGCGCCCCGAACCCUGCUUCUGCUGCUCUCGGGGGCCCUGGUCCUGACCCAGACCUGGGCAGGCUUCCACUCCUUGAGGUAUUUCCACACCACCAUGUCCCGGCCCGGCCGCGCGGAUCCCCGCUUCCUCUCCGUGGGCGACGUGGACGACACGCAGUGCGUGCGGCUCGACAGCGACGCCACGAGUCCCAGGAUGGAGCCGGAGGGGCCGGAAUAUUGGGAAGAGGAGACAGGGACCGCCAAGGCCAAAGCACAGUUUUACCGAGUGAACCUGCGGACCCUGAGCGGCUACUACAACCAGAGUGAGGCCUAAGUGCAGCUUCAUUCCCUCCCUGUUCGUGUAGCCUGGACUUAAUGACUCACUUCUAACUGAUAGAGUAAUGCUGACUUAAUAGUUUGUGAUUCUGGGUGUAGAACAUAAGACUCACUGAAGUUUCUACUUUGGUUCUUUCUUUCUCUGGAAUCAUGAGCCCUGGGGGAAGCUGGCUGUUGUGUCAUAAGGAGGCCUGUGGUCCAUGUGACUAGGAAGUGAGUCCUCCUGGGACCAGACAAUAAGAAGCUAAAGCCUCUUCCAAAAGCCAUGUGAGAGAUUCUUGUGUCUUGUGAAUCCCUGGCCCCAUUUGAGCCCUCAGGUGAUUCAGCCCUGGAAGACAACUAGACUGCAACGUUGUGAGAGGCCCUGAGCCAGAAGCAUUCAGAGAAACUUCUCCUGGAUUCCUGACCAUGGAUAACUGUGGGAGAUGAUAAAUAUUUGUUGAUUUGAGCUGCUAAGUUGUAGGUGACUUGUUAUGCAGCAGUAGAUAACUAAUACAGCUUCACAAGAGAGGAUGAAUCACUGAACUUUUUCAUUUGCUCUAAAUUCAUUAUAAGAUAUUAAACAUGUCAUUUGCUUUUAAUAUUUAAUAAAAAUUUCCAUGGCUAUAUAA
ensembl:lncRNA HLA-V major histocompatibility complex, class I, V (pseudogene)